rnacentral:rRNA from 1 species
GACGAACGCUGGCGGCGUGCUUAACACAUGCAAGUCGAACGGAAAGGCCGGGCUUUGGGGGGCAGGUGGAGUUGCGAAGGGGGGAGUAACACGUAGGUACGCUGCCCUUGACUUUGGGGGAACUUCAGGAAGCUGAGGCUCAUAGCGGCUAGGAGCUCUCGCCGCAUGGUGGGGCUGGGAAAGAUUCGGCGGUUGGGGAUGGACUAGCGGCUUAUCAGCUUGUUCGUGUGGUAGUGGCUUAGCAAGGCUAUGACGGGUAGCCGGCCUGCGCGGGUGACCGGCCCCCUUGCGCCUGAGCUGCGGCCCAGCCUCCUCUGCUAGGCAGGAGUGGGGUAUGUUGCACUAUGCGCGGAACCCUGAUGCAGCCACGCCGCGUCGGGGAUGAGGGCCUUCGGGUUGUAUUCCGCUUUCGCCUGUGCCGAAGCGUUAGUGACGGUACUGGGUAAAGAAGCACCGGCUAACUACGUG